rnacentral:rRNA from 1 species
UACGGAGGGUGCAAGCGUUAAUCGGAAUUACUGGGCGUAAAGCGCACGCAGGCGGUCUUUUAAGUGAGGUGUGAAAUCCCCGGGCUCAACCUGGGAACUGCAUUUGAUACUGGCAAUCUUGAGUCUUGUAGGGGGGGGUAGAAUUCCAGGUGUAGCGGUGAAAUGCGUAGAGAUGUGGAGGAAUACCGAUGGCGAAGGCAGCCCCCUGGACGAAUACUGACGCUCAGGUGCGAAAGCGUGGGGAGCAAACAGG